UCGAAACACCCCCAUACCCCCAUGAACCCUCAUAGACUCGUCUAUCUUAUCCCUCUCUCAUCUCUCGCCAUCUGUCGCUGCCGAAAAUCGCCUAUGGCGGCGGCCCGUCGCCAAAUAACCCCAAAUCUUCACCCUAUGACUCCCACACUUCCCAAAUCCCAAAUCUCUUACCAAUUUCCCCAAAUAAUCACCCAAACUCCCCGAAUUUUAGAUCUAAGAGAUUAAGAAAACCUAGUUUUUCCCUUAUUUUUUUUUCUGAAUUCAAGCCAUCUUACGCUAUAGCUCACAUUAGUUGACUGCUUGUGUUAAGAAUUACCAAAUGAUUUUGGUUUCAUAUCAUUGGACAACCGUCAGUUUUGACCACUCAACCUCACUGGCUAGCCAUCGCUUUGUGUAGCAUUAGUUCUGCCUUUCAAGCGUGAAUCAAUGCUCACAUAUCGAUAUUGACUAUUGGUCGGAUUUUCUAAAGUUUGGCUCUGUUCAUCAGUAGGAACUGGUCUUACUUAAUUUCAUAUUGCUUGUAUCUUCAACUAGAAGUGAUUCCUGAUUCAAAAAUGCUUUCUGGUAUCGUCAUAUGAAAUACCUGCCAAACAUGUAUUAAUCUAAGAUUGUCUUGGGUUGAGGUUUCAAAGGAUUCAAGUUGGAAAUGGACUACUGAGUGUUAAAUGUAUGAAGAUAGAAGCAAGUGGAAUCAGCUACCUACAAUUGAGUUACUGUUGUAAUGAGUAAUUCAGUAGCCUUUUUAGUCAUGUUUGAGAAGGACAAUCCUCUAAAAAAUAGUUAUUGAUGUAAAAUUUCGAAUAUGAUUGCUUUGAUGUAAUGAAUUAAUUUUCUUUUACGUUCAUGAUUUGAGGCUAAAGGUUGCAUUA